CUUCCACCUACCCGUCCGCCCUUAUUGCACUCGACUUUCAGUACAUUGUGCUGCUUGGGUCUAUUCCCAACAGUUUGUCAACAUGUUCCUAGAAUAGCUGACGUGGGGGCGCACAACAUAAAACUGCAGGAAGGGCACGUGUCGAGACGGGCGUAUCCUUAUCGGACGUCGCUACUUUUAAGAAAGGAGGUGGAAAGGCAGAUAAACGACCUUCUAGAGCAAGCCCAGGCAGCACAAUGUACUGAAACUCGAGUGCAAUAGGGGUGGACGGGUAGGUGGAAGGCCCUGCACGGACCCUGGAAGCUAAAGAACAUUGAUAAGACACAAUGCCUUCCACACCCAUUGCAGUCGACUUUCAGUACAUUGUGCUGCUUGGGAGGGCCCGUAUACCCGACCGUCACCGGAAGUACUGCCGCAUAACCCCAAGCAGCACAAUGUACUGAAAGCCGAGUGCAAUAGGGGUGGACGGUAUGUCUUAUCAGUGUUCCGUAGUUUCAAGAGUCUGUUCAAGGUCUUCCACCUACCCGUCCGCCCCUAUUGCACUCGACUUUCAGUACAUUGUGCUGCUUGGGACAGUGAGCACACACACACACCUAAAGGGUGCAUUUGGAAUUGCGGAACACCUCAGAGUGUGUUGUUAAGCUCGUGUCUUUUUAGUGUUCAAGCAAUAAAUGUGACCACGGCGUUUUCGCUGCACUACCGUGCGUCAGUCGCCAAGUUCUCUCCGAAUUUCGGACAUUAACUGAGCUGUAAAUCGUAGACUCCGAAAAACUCCGUUUUUUUUUUGUUGAAAAAAAAAAACAAAACAAAAACAAUAAACUCCGAAAAACAUCCUCCGGUAACGCCCAGAAAUAAACUCCGAAAAACCCGAAACCCUAGACUUAUCUCUUUAACAUCUGUUUUGUCCUGUAUCCCCCUCGAUUUCCCUUGCAUGUGUGCUGAACUAUCGCUCAGCAGAAAACCGGAUUUCUGCGUAUACCCUGGGAAAGGUCCAGUCCACGAUAACGGAGUUGCGCUGGGUGUGAGUUAGGGUUGCCACCAGGCCGGUAUUAUACCGGCAGGGCCGGUUAUUUGCUCGCUCUGUUGGUUGCCGGUAGGAAGGCGAUACCGGCAGGCUUUUGCCGGUAUUUGUGGCUCAACACCUUUCAUAAGGGUUUUUACGGGGUUUUCCUUUCAACAUUCCACUACAGCUUGAAUAAAUCUGGAGCACAGACCCCCCAACUCCGUAGUCACCAGUCGUUUUCUUAGUUAUUCAUUAUUAUUAUCAUUGUUGUCUCGAGCGAGUACGCUCCUUUCUUUCUCUCUCUCUCUGUAUACUCUCCACCCCUCACUCACUUUCCCUUUCCCGCGAACAUUUCCUUCUUUCCCUCUAUUCCACCUCCUCUCCCUCAGCCGGUAUUUUGCACUCCGAAAGAUGGCAACCCUAGACUGUGAGUACGUGUAGUUCCGUUCAGCGGAAGCUAUGCACACGAUGCCGAUAAAAAGAAACGCGUUUUUGCAAGAAUGCAGUUAUAGCAAGUUGCCGUCCUGCCUCAACCUUCGUCGACACCCACUCUGUCUGUGCUCGGAGAAUCUAACGCGCGCCCCACCGAGACAAUCAUCAGCAAGUAGCCAUGAAGGGAUUCUUUGUUCUCAUGUUGCUCGUCGUUUCAUUUGUAGCAAUCCAGGCAGCGCCUGCCCUCUUCAACUUCCUCGAUGAGUCCAGCUUUGGCAGAUAUGCUACUCGUGACUAUCCCACACAUAUCCCGACCGUUCCCGGCUACCGUUCAGGCAGGGCCGCCCAGCCCGGUAACCUCAGAACAAUGUGACGCAUGAAAGGAACAGUUCGAAGACAUCCUACCGACCACUUGGCUUUGGAUAUUCUCAAUGCGUACAUGCGCUAUAAUUUGCGCACCAUACUAGAUUCUUCGCUUACCUCUCAAGCUAUCUCCCAACGCCGUGUUCUCUAUAUUUCUCUUUUGUCUUUCUCUCCUACGGAUUCUUUCAUGCCAACAUAAUUUUGAAUAAAAUACGACUUUGAUCCGCAGCCGGACAUAGGGUCCUGCAUGGUAAAACGAGAAUUAACACUACCAACGAAAAUCGGCGGCGCCAGGGGGCGAAGAUACAGUAUAUCAGUGAUGGCCACUAACUACUUCUAUAAUUUAACUCUAACUACUAACUAUACUACUAACAGUACUAUAUUACCAUGGUCUUCACAAAUGUUACAUUCCCAACUUGCGAGUAACCAUAAUUGCGUAUUACAACUACGCUACUAUAUAUUUACUUAUAUGCUCCAGUUUGAUAGUUCAUUUUAGUUUUAGGUCCUCAAUAAUUUUGGUUCCUUUCAUUUAGCUUUAUUUCAUUUUCAUUUAUUUAGCUAAAUUUAUCUAAAUGAUACCGUACAGAUACUACCCUGCAGUAUCCGAAUUACAGAAAAUUGUCGUUUCCAUUUGUCUCAGGUACUUAGAGUGUGUGUAUAUCCAUUUGUAUUACCUGUUCUGUUUCUGUUACCUUUCCCUGCUUGUGACGUCCAAGAGAUCACGGCAAUGAAGAGUUCUGACAAAGAAAAACACUUUAUUUGUAAACAGCAAACACAGCAAGUGCUGGAAUUGUACAGGAUGUAACUUCUCAGUGAUGAGCUGCACUGACAAACUGGAAAGUUGCGAGACAUAUUAUGCAAUAUAAAUUAGUAAUAUAGUAUGCAGAUUUUGUCAGGCAUUGCUUGACUCCCAGUGCUGUAGUUUAAUUUCUGUACCUGAGAUCACACAAUGUACAAGGUGUCAAGGGAUAAGCUUCUUUUUGUAUGCACUAAAAAUCCUUACAAAAUGAACAGAACUUGUUUUCUGUUUGAAUAUUAACGAUUAAAUUCUGUGGUGGUCUAACCACCUACCAUAGUCUUUUCUUCUCAGCUCCAUAGCUUUUUCUUAGGAGGAAGUCUUAGUUUCUUUUAACAAUACCAAUCAAAGAUUGCUGGCCACGCCACUGUCGACAUGUAUUUUCUAAUUUCUAGAAAUUCUCAUUACGUUUUGGUUUAUUGGGGUACACAAAUAAUGAGAAAUUGGUUGCCCGUGUAGCGGAAGCACUGAUAAUGUGUGCAGGCACCAUCUUGGCCGGUGGGUUCUAAUUAAGUGUAUUGCUUACGAGAAAGAGCUGUACAAAAAAAUUUAUACUCGUCUAUGCUUUACGGGACGAUGAAUCUCCGCCAAACUCUUAUGAACAGAAUGUCACGCAGAAAAGGAAAACACUGUGCUGACUUUUACGGUGGAAAUGUACAUAACAAGUUUUAUUUUUGGACACUUUGGGUGACGUAAUGUCCAUAACACUGAACCCAAACUGAUCUAUCUGAAAGAUGCUGAUAUACCUGUCGUCCUAAAGUUUUUAACAGAAUGUUGUGUUCGUUACAUGAUAUAAUAUAUAGGCGUCUACUUGCUGAGGUAGCCGUUGUAUCUUGAGGAUAAGCUGCCGCGACUACAAGCUUAGGAAUGUACUCCAUUAUUACAAAUAUAUAAAGUUCUUGCCACGGUGUGGUCCCACAAAGC